CAACCACCCAAGCUCUUUUCAGCUGAUUCAGUGGCAGCUCUGGGGAGGAGAUCUGAACAUACCCUGCUGGUUAGAGGGCUGUGCUACAGGAUCAGAUAUACCCAGGACGAGUUUUCACGCCUGCAAAGCACAGACUGUGGCUUCCAGAAUCACUCGCCUGCAAAGUCUGUCAGCUUUAAGCAUCUCCUCUCUGAUCUUGUAAAUUGGAUGUGCCGAAUCUCAGCUCGACAUUUCUCAGGCUUGUUGACAGCAGCAAUAAUUACAUGGUGAAAUGCAAACUAACAAGCUGCAUCUACUCAGUAUUAAGGAUUAAUGGUCUGAGUUUUAGUUUUUGCUUCCCUACAGGGUAGCCAAUUCACCAAAAUCAUGCUUCAAUAAAUGCAAGUGUGAAAUACUGCAAUUGUAGAACCUAUAUAUAGAAAUGAAAAUCUGCUGCUUCUCUCAUUAUCUGAGAAGAGGGCAUAGCAUAAAAUGCUCUGUAGCUUCACCUGCCUGAGGCAAAACUAAGAUGCUCACUUAACCAUUUCUCUGAUAGAGACCUUCCCCAGGGGUAUUUAUCCCUUACUCUGCACUGUCUUUAUUAGGUCUUCCUUAACGUGGUCUUUAUGUCCACUGUGAACUUUAACCAUUAAUUUAAUAGAACCUCUCAAGAAGGAUUUUGCUGCGUGUUUCUACCUACCUUUAGCAGCUAUUAUCUGAAGGUUUUUGUAUGCAUUACUAUGAACCUAAGCAUACUGGCAGAGCAUAUGUGGAGCAUCAGCCAGGCACAGAUUUACUUGUCCUAGGUGAAAUGGUAAACAUGCACUCACAUUUCACAUGAUGUGGUUGUGGCCAUGAGGCUCCACGCCCUCCUCACAAGCCCUCCCAGGCAGGGAGAAGCUAAUCGGCUGAGGCGCACCGAAGCAGGAAUAAGGAGAAAGGAAAUAGUGAUAUUUCUGAAAUGCAGAUGGAUUUGGGUUGCCUGGAUCAUGAAGGCAGGACAUGUCAGAGCUAGUAAUGCAGUCCACAUUUCCAAGCCUGAUCUAGCAUCUUAAUGACAGGUGCUGUCUUCCCCUCAUGGAAUAUAAGCCCUGCUUUCAAACUCACUCCCCAACCCAUUACAGUUAAGAUAUCUGUAUUCUGGAAAAACGACGAAGAUUUCUUAUUAUGUAGUUUUUAUAGCUGUUUGUGUGAGUAAAUCUUAGAGCCAGGCAAUGCAUGAAUAGUUUGCCACAUAUAAUUUACUCAAUGUAUUCAGAUGUUGUAUCUUGAAUACUAAGCAUCAUGCUCUCGUCAAUGAAAACGGCUGAUCUGGAAUAUUUUUGCUUGGCAGUUGGGGUUAUAUGCAAAUCUUGCACUUUCAUGUACAAUUCAAAUAAAUGGCUCUGUUUUAAUAAAAAAAUCAUCUAGCCAGACUGCAGUGAGACAGCUGGCCUGGC